rnacentral:antisense_RNA from 1 species
GGAGAGGGAAGCGCUCGUGCCCACCUUGCUCGCAGGUGCCCUUGCUGACCUGGGUGAUGGCCUUCUCCCCGCGGCUCUCGGCCCUCUGGCUGGCGGCGCGCAGCUGGCAGCCGCUCGGAUCAGUGUGGAAAUGGAUGUGGACGCGGUGCUGCUGCCUGAGAUUAGCAGGAAGCAAUUCUUUUCCCAUUUGGAGAGACCCCAGCUUUUUCGGGCCAGGAGAUGGUUUUGCAGCAGCAGAAGACUAUGAACUGGGCUUUGGGAGAUAGGAUCUCUGGUUGUAUUCUGGCUAUCCACACUCUGAAAGAGGACCGUGACAGAGAAUUUGAGUAUCCUACCAAUAUACCUACAAAAGGAUGAAAGAAGAUUUGGAGUCAAGGGAAAACAAGGGCAAUAAAAUAGAUGCUUACCACCUGCUCUCAUACAGUUGCUAGAAGAGGACUGCAUAUUUGGUUCUAAGUUUUUGGAAGAUAAAGCAAAAAUAGAAACACAACUCAUUAUAAAAUUUUGGUGUAUCCAUAAAAUAAAAACAAAUGACCUGUUUGAGAAAACUCUUUCUGAGUUUGAGCUCUAAAAGGAACUUCUCUAUGGAAUCCUUAGAAUAUGAGAAGGCUGUGAUAUAGGGGAGAAACCCCUUGACAUUCCUAUAUUGGGUUUAGGUCUAAUUUCACUCAGUAGUUUUUAAAUGUUACUCCUUGUAGACAGAUGAUGAGACGCCAAAGUACAGCUGAGUGAAAGCGGUUCCUUUGAAAACUAA